UACGGGGGGGGCAAGCGUUGUUCGGAAUUACUGGGCGUAAAGGGCUCGUAGGCGGCCAACUAAGUCAGACGUGAAAUCCCUCGGCUUAACCGGGGAACUGCGUCUGAUACUGGCAGGCUUGAAUCCGGGAGAGGGAUGCGGAAUUCCAGGUGUAGCGGUGAAAUGCGUAGAUAUCUGGAGGAACACCGGUGGCGAAGGCGGCAUCCUGGACCGGCAUUGACGCUGAGGCGCGAAAGCCAGGGGAGCAAACGGG
rnacentral:rRNA from 1 species